rnacentral:lncRNA from 10 species
CUGGCCUCUACCUUAAUUUAACUUAUUCAAAUUUUUGUAUAACCAGCUCUGCAGGGAAUUGUUCAGAAAUCUUUAUCCAUAUUUCUGGUUUUUUUGUAAGGAGAAAUUAAUAGACGGGGCAUUAUGAGGUCAAAGGUUAGGUACAUCUUCAAGACUUCCUGUCCUCCAGAGAUGCGUCAGUUCCUCUUCCACUGCUGUGUCCGGGAGUGCCCCCACAGAAAAGCUGUCCUGUUACCUUUAAAGACUUUUAGCAACUUGGACCUUGCCUAAAACAUGAGGCACACUGUAAGUAGCUUUUCUCUUCAGGGACAGCAUGAAUUCAGGCUACCCAUGGGGUUGGACAGGAGACUGGGCUCUGCAUGUAGGGUGAGUAGUUGUCCCUAUAAGAGAAGCUUUUCAGGGUGCAGGACUCUGAGGGCUAACACCAGGAUGGUCCCAGCAAGCCGGAACAGUUGUCCUUUUACCCCAAGGGCAAGCCCCUUACCUCCCAUUCAGUAGACCCUCCCUCUGCCCCUGUGAGAGAGCCAGGGUCAGGGGCUGGAGCUGGGGCUGGGGAAACCCAGAGAAGCUCAGAAGGAGCCCUGCCCUCCUCAGGUCCAGGACGCAGGUGAGCAGAGAAACAGCCAUCACCCAGGGGGAACUUAGUCUAAUUCCGUCCCUUUCCAGCUGUGUGACCUGGGCAAACUGCAAAAGCUUCCGCUUCCUCUGCUGCAAAGUAACACAAAACCAGCAGCCUCACAGGGUUGCUGCAAAGAUUACACGCGGUGUUGAAUGACUGCCCUUAGCAAGGCUUAGCGUCAUCAACCUUCAGAGGUCAGCUAGGAUGAGAACAAAGUGUGAUGGCAGAGGCCAGUGUAGCCACAGGAUUUCAAAGCAAAGAGGGUCUAGGGUGCCAGAAAGGCUUCCUGUGGGAGGCAAGAAGUGGAGUCUAUUUUAUAAAUAAAAAAUGCUCCAGCCUCACUGGACAUCUCCUGAAGUUGAGACCACAGCUCUUAAGAUCUUCUUCCUCUCCAGCUGGACGUCCCAGAGCAGUGCUCACAGAGUUCUCUCCAUCCCCUUUCUCAGCAUCCUCUAACAUCCCAUCUUUCUCUGUUAUUUAAAUUAAUUCUAACACACUAUAGUUAUUAUCUAAAUAAUAAGCAUCUGUUGGCCAGGAGCGGUGGCUCAUGCCUGUAAUCCCAACACUUUGGGAGGCCGAGGCAGGUGGAUCACAUGAGGUCAGGAGUUUGAGACCAGCCUGGCCAACAUGGCGAAACCCUGUCUCUACUAAAAAUAGAAAAAUUAGCCAGGUGUGGUGGCAGAUGCCUGUAAUCCCAGCUACUUGGGAGGCUGAGGCAGGAGAAUCGCUUAAACCUGGGAGGCGGAGGUUGCAGUGAGCCAGCAUGGCACCACUGCACUCCAGCUUCGGCAACAGAAAA